rnacentral:rRNA from 1 species
GGAGUCUUCAGCCUAAACACACCUGAUCUCAUCUGAUCUUGAAAGCUAAGCAGAGUCGGGCCUGGUAGUACUUGGAUGGGAGAAAUGGGGAAACAGCAACUGAGACUCCA